rnacentral:sRNA from 1 species
GGGAGCGUCCCCGGAAGGAGGCAGCCAGCCAAGGGCCCCUGAAGCAGGUCCUCUUCCCUCCCAGUGUUGUCCUUCUGGAGGCUGCUGCCCGAAAUGACCUGGAAGAAGUCCGCCAGUUCCUUGGGAGUGGGGUCAGCCCUGACUUGGCCAAUGAGGACGGCCUGACGGCCCUGCACCAGGUCAGCCCGCACUGGGUGUGGGCGGGGUGGGGGCUGGCCCCCGUGCUCUGGCCGCUCACGUGGCACGGUUUGCAGUGCUGCAUCGAUGAUUUCCGAGAGAUGGUGCAGCAGCUCCUGGAGGCUGGGGCCAACAUCAAUGCCUGUGACAGUGAGUGCUGGACGCCUCUGCAUGCUGCGGCCACCUGCGGCCACCUGCACCUGGUGGAGCUGCUCAUCGCCAGUGGCGCCAAUCUCCUGGCGGUCAACACCGACGGGAACAUGCCCUAUGACCUGUGUGAUGAUGACCAGACGCUGGACUGCCUGGAGACUGCCAUGGCCGACCGUGGUAGGUGCGGCGGUGCGGCUGUGGGAGGGCUGCCGGUCGCGCUCCCUCUGAGCCUGCCGCCUCGCAGGCAUCACCCAGGACAGCAUCGAGGCCGCCCGGGCCGUGCCAGAACUGCGCAUGCUGGAUGACAUCCGGAGCCGGCUGCAGGCCGGGGCAGACCUCCAUGCCCCCCUGGACCACGGGGCCACGCUGCUGCACAUCGCAGCCGCCAACGGGUUCAGCGACGCGGCCGCCCUGCUGCUGGAACACAGAGCCAGCCUGAGCGCUAAGGACCAAGACGGCUGGGAGCCGCUGCACGCCGCGGCCUACUGGGGCCAG